CAAGUUCAGAGUGCUGGAGGCAACAAAGGUACAUUACUUUCCUCCUCAAUUUCUUUAACUCCUCACCAUCCACUCCCUUCUAUUCUCGCGUUGGCUAUGGCUACCAAUCAGAGGGUUUGCCAGCGGCCGCUUUGGUAUGUCUGUCGAGGCAGAUACGGCUGUAGAAAGUGUCACUGAAGCUGGCCUUCACACAUGACAGUCGGGUGGAAGUAGAGGUCCGUCUCUAGACUCGCUCACAAUACAUUCAAUUCAUUAACCUCUUCUGUAUUUCAGAUGGCCUCAUUGUGGUAGAUGGUUCGAUGGAGAUAGGCCAUGGUGGUGAACUCACAAGCGAGUCUGCAGGUGGAAAGACUUUUCUGCCAAUGCUACCUGCCCAUGAGGCACCCACUGAUCAAGGUGAUGGGCUAGAUGGGAUGGUGGAUGAUGGUGGAGCCUCAAUGACUCCCAGAGAAGUUUCCUGAGAAGUUUUAGAUCUGCUUCCCAGGUUCAAUCACCAUUCUGCAUUCCCACUAAUCCUCUACAUGCAGAAACCCCGUCCCCUUACUAUGGAUAAAGUGGGCAAUUCUGGCGCACCCUACGACGGCGUCUCUCCACAUCCACAGAGUCCACCUCAAAUCUCAGUUGACCACGCCGGUGCGACACAGAAGGAGUGGCUGGUCAAAAAGAUUCUGAAUUUCUGAAUCUGUGUGUGGGAGGGCAAGCCACUCCUGAAGUACCAUAUCACAUGGCAGUCUACAUAGCAAUCACAGUGUGAUCUGAUCUCAGGCUGUGAGAAACUGAUCAAAAAAUUUCAUGCAGAGUGGAAGAAUGAGCAGUCUUCACUGACUACUCUGACAGAUCACAUGCAUUUCAAGCAGAAGAGAAGAUUAUGCAGAGAUGAUACAUACAAGAUUGUAAAAUCAAUUGUUUAGAAUUCUCAUCUAUUUACAUAUCAUUAUCAAUUUCAGCUCUGAUUUGUUCUGUACUUUUUCUAUCUUGAUUGUUACUCCGUUCGUCUAUGCUCCGGAGGUAAGUAUAAAAGCCUCUCCGGUUCUGGGUAUCUAUAUUUAUAUUCUUAAGCUGUAAUAAAUCAUACCGCAAAUCAACUCGAAAGAGUCACGCCUCAACAGAACCCUGUAGCUAUCUAGAAACCCAUCUGACUUGUAACAGGGGGCAUUUGCCGCAAUGCCGAAUGCGAACUAUGACGUGCGAAGACUUUCAGCAACCUCCUCCUUGAACGCCAAGGGUAGCACCAAUGCAUCUCCGCCGUUGUUAGAGCACCGUUAGACACCAGAUCGCCUCAAGCUUACGGUCGAACAUCUAGUUACGCGGAGAUAUCCACAGAGCAGGGGAGAGCAAAUCAUUCUGAUCUUCCCUGGCUUUAAAAAGCAUAGCUGGACUUGAGCACAACCAAGCUCGUUUCGCGUUCAAGUGGAUCCUCUUUGACAUCGGUCAGCUUAGUCGCGCAAAUGAAACUCUCCUACGGUGUAAAAUAGCCUCA
rnacentral:sRNA from 2 species